AAUCAACGCUGGCGGCGUGCCUAACACAUGCAAGUCGAACGCGAAAAGGGGCAACCCUGAGUAGAGUGGCGUCCGGGUGAGUAACACGUAGACAAUCUACCUAUGAGGGGGGAAUAACUUUCCGAAAGGGAAGCUAAUACCGCAUAAAAUCUAGAUGAGGAAUCUCAGUUAGAUCAGGGGGGGGGAUCGAAAGACCUCGUGCUUAUAGAGGAGUCUGCGGCUGAUUAGCUAGUUGGUGAGGUAAUGGCUCACCAAGGCGACGAUCAGUAGCCGGCCUGAGAGGGCGGUCGGCCACACUGGCACUGAAAUACGGGCCACACUCCUACGGGAGGCAGCAGUGGGAUUUUUGGGCAAUGGUCGCAAGACUGACCCAGCAACGCCGCGUGAAGGAUGAAAUCUUUCGGGAUGUAAACUUCGAAAGUCAGGAAAGAAUAAGUCUAGACUAAAAGCUAGAUGAUGACGGUACCUGAUGUAAGCCCCGGCUAACUCCGUGCCAGCAGCCGCGGUAAUACGGGGGGGGCAAGCGUUGUUCGGAAUUACUGGGCGUAAAGGGCGCGUAGGCGGUUAGAUCAAGUCAAAUGUGAAA
rnacentral:rRNA from 1 species